rnacentral:rRNA from 1 species
AUUGAACGCUGGCGGCAGGCCUAACACAUGCAAGUCGAACGGUAACAGGCCGCAAGGUGCUGACGAGUGGCGAACGGGUGAGUAAUGCAUCGGAACGUGCCCAGUCGUGGGGGAUAACGCAGCGAAAGCUGCGCUAAUACCGCAUACGAUCUAUGGAUGAAAGCGGGGGGCCGUAAGGCCUCGCGCGAUUGGAGCGGCCGAUGUCAGAUUAGGGAGUUGGUGGGGUAAAGGCUCACCAAGCCAACGAUCUGUAGCUGGUCUGAGAGGACGACCAGCAACCCUGGGACUGAGGCACGGCCCAGACUCCUACGGGAGGCAGCAGGGGGGAAUUUUGGACAAUGGGCGCAAGCCUGAUCCAGCAAUGCCGUGUGCAGGAAGAAGGCCUUCGGGUUGUAAACUGCUUUUGUACGGAACGAAACGGUCCUGGUUAAUACCCGGGGCUAAUGACGGUACCGUAAGAAUAAGCACCGGCUAACUACGUGCCAGCAGCCGCCGUAACAC